rnacentral:rRNA from 1 species
AAACCAACAGGGAUUGCCUCAGUAACGGCGAGUGAAGCGGCAAAAGCUCAAAUUUGAAAUCUGGCACCUUCGGUGUCCGAGUUGUAAUUUGAAGAAGGUAACUUUGGAGUUGGCUCUUGUCUAUGUUCCUUGGAACAGGACGUCACAGAGGGUGAGAAUCCCGUGCGAUGAGAUGCCCAAUUCUAUGUAAAGUGCUUUCGAAGAGUCGAGUUGUUUGGGAAUGCAGCUCUAAGUGGGUGGUAAAUUCCAUCUAAAGCUAAAUAUUGGCGAGAGACCGAUAGCGAACAAGUACAGUGAUGGAAAGAUGAAAAGAACUUUGAAAAGAGAGUGAAAAAGUACGUGAAAUUGUUGAAAGGGAAGGGCUUGAGAUCAGACUUGGUAUUUUGCAAGCCUUACCUUCGUGGUGGGGUCCCCUGCAGUUUACUGGGCCAGCAUCGGUUUGGAUGGUAGGAUAAUGACUUGGGAAUGUGACUUUGCUUCGGUAAAGUGUUAUAGCCCUUGUUGAUACUGCCUGUCUAGACCGAGGACUGCGUCUUUGACUAGGAUGCUGGCAUAAUGAUCU